rnacentral:tRNA from 1 species
AUGGCGGUAGCUCAGUUGGUAGAGCCGUGAAACAUUUCUCACUUCCUUGUCACCCACCUUAACAAACCUAAAUACAAAUUUCUGGCGUGAUGAAUGCUGGAGGAAUUACAUUUGGCGCGGGUUCAAAUCCUGCUCGUUAUU